CAGCCGCCACGGUAAUACGUAGGUGGCAAGCGUUGUCCGGAAUUAUUGGGCGUAGAGGGCUCGCAGGCGGUUUCUUAAGUCUGAUGUGAAAGCCCCCGGCUCAACCGGGGAGGGUCAUUGGAAACUGGGAAACUUGAGUGCAGAAGAGGAGAGUGGAAUUCCACGUGUAGCGGUGAAAUGCGUAGAGAUGUGGAGGAACACCAGUGGCGAAGGCGACUCUCUGGUCUGUAACUGACGCUGAGGAGCGAAAGCGUGGGGAGCGAACAGGAUUAGAUACCCGAGUAGUCCCUGUCUCUUAUAC
rnacentral:rRNA from 1 species